GAUUGAACGCUGGCGGCAUGCUUUACACAUGCAAGUCGAACGGCAGCGGGGGCUUCGGCCUGCCGGCGAGUGGCGAACGGGUGAGUAAUGCAUCGGAACGUGCCCAUGUCGUGGGGGAUAACGUAUCGAAAGGUACGCUAAUACCGCAUACGCCCUGAGGGGGAAAGCGGGGGAUUCUUCGGAACCUCGCGCGAUUGGAGCGGCCGAUGUCGGAUUAGCUAGUAGGUGAGGUAAAGGCUCACCUAGGCGACGAUCCGUAGCGGGUCUGAGAGGAUGAUCCGCCACACUGGGACUGAGACACGGCCCAGACUCCUACGGGAGGCGGCAGUGAGGAAUAUUGGUCAAUGGGCGCAAGCCUGAACCAGCCACGUCGCGUGAAGGAAGACGGCCCUACGGGUUGUAAACUUCUUUUGUAAGGAAAUAAAGUGUAGUACGUGUACUAUUUUGCAUGUACCUUACGAAUAAGGAUCGGCUAACUCCGUGCCAGCAGCCGCGGUAAUACGGAGGAUCCGAGCGUUAUCCGGAUUUAUUGGGUUUAAAGGGUGCGCAGGCGGGAGAUUAAGUCGGCGGUGAAAUUUUGCAGCUUAACUGUAAAAGUGCCUUCGAAACUGGUUUCCUUGAGUGUAGAUGAAGUAGGCGGAAUUUGUGGUGUAGCGGUGAAAUGCAUAGAUAUCACGAGGAACUCCGAUUGCGCAGGCAGCUUACUAAACUACUACUGACGCUCAGGCACGAAGGCGUGGGGAUCAAACAGGAUUAGAUACCCUGGUAGUCCACGCAGUAAACGAUGAUUACUCGCUGUUUGCGAUAUACAGUAAGCGGCUUAGCGAAAGCGUUAAGUAAUCCACCUGGGGAGUACGUUCGCAAGAAUGAAACUCAAAGGAAUUGACGGGGGCCCGCACAAGCGGAGGAACAUGUGGUUUAAUUCGAUGAUACGCGAGGAACCUUACCCGGGCUUGAAAUGCAUCUGACAGGAGCAGAGACGCUCCCUCCCUUCGGGGCAGAUGUGUAGGUGCUGCAUGGUUGUCGUCAGCUCGUGCCGUGAGGUGUCGGCUUAAGUGCCAUAACGAGCGCAACCCUCAUCAUUAGUUACCAUCAGGUCAAGCUGGGGACUCUAAUGAGACUGCCAUCGUAAGAUGCGAGGAAGGUGGGGAUGACGUCAAAUCAGCACGGCCCUUACGUCCGGGGCGACACACGUGUUACAAUGGAUGGUACAAAGGGCAGCUACAUGGCGACAUGAUGCUAAUCUCUAAAACCAUUCUCAGUUCGGAUCGGAGUCUGCAACUCGACUCCGUGAAGCUGGAUUCGCUAGUAAUCGCGCAUCAGCCACGGCGCGGUGAAUACGUUCCCGGGCCU
rnacentral:rRNA from 1 species